rnacentral:rRNA from 1 species
GAACGAUGAAGCUGGAACUUGUUCUGGUGGAUUAGUGGCGAACGGGUGAGUAACACGUGAGCAACCUGCCCAAGACUUUCGGGAUAAGCCUGGGAAACUGGGUCUAAUACUGGAUAUGACCUUUCAUCGCAUGGUGUUUGGUGGAAAGAUUUUUUGGUUUUGGAUGGGCUCGCGGCCUAUCAGCUUGUUGGUGAGGUAAUGGCUUACCAAGGCUUCGACGGGUAACCGGCCUGAGAGGGUGACCGGUCACACUGGGACUGAGACACGGCCCAGACUCCUACGGGAGGCAGCAGUGGGGAAUAUUGCACAAUGGGCGAAAGCCUGAUGCAGCGACGCCGCGUGAGGGAUGACGGCCUUCGGGUUGUAAACCUCUUUCAGUCAGGAACAAGCCUUCGGGUGAGGGUACUGGCAGAAGAAGCACCGGCUAACUACGUGCCAGCAGCCGCGGUAAUACGUAGGGUGCGAGCGUUAUCCGGAAUUAUUGGGCGUAAAGAGCUUGUAGGCGGUUUGUCGCGUCUGCUGUGAAAGCCCGGGGCUUAACUCCGGGUCUGCAGUGGGUACGGGCAGGCUAGAGUGAUGUAGGGGUAACUGGAAUUCCUGGUGUAGCGGUGGAAUGCGCAGAUAUCAGGAAGAAC